rnacentral:misc_RNA from 1 species
AUGAACGACGAGAUCAUCUCAAAUCUUCAUAUGCUUUCGGCAGUGCAUCGAAGUCUUCCACGUGAUGCUCGUAAGGAUUACUUGUCCAGAGUUCGGGGAAAAGUCGAACAUCUCUACAAAGCUAUUCAAGGUAACAAAAAACCAGAAAUCAAUUUCGAAGUUUCACUGGAAGAAGCCAAACUCGCUGAUAAAUAUCUAAAAGAUGCAAAGAAAGUUCGUAUUGGAAACACGAUGUCUGAUCGCGAUGAAUAUCUUGGACUGCUGGAAAUUGCGUGAGUUCAAAUUGUCUUUGCGUUCAUUUUGAGGAAAAAUCACAAUUUUCACUGACAACGAUGAAAGAAAAUGCGUAUUCAUCCACGUGUCAAUUGGUGGAAUCGAGGAAGGAUGCAUCGUGAUUCAGCUCUUCAACGAUAUCGUCCCAAGAACCGCACAAAAUUUCGAAUCUUGGUGCACAGGAGAGAAACGGGGAAAAUAUGGAGAGCCGCUGCACUUAAAGGAAUGUGAAAUUAAGAUGAUUUUACCCGGUUCCGUCAUCGGUUUUGGAGAUUUUGAAGAAAAUUGUGAAUACUUCGAUGAUGAAAAGUCAAAAGAAAAUCACUGCAAAAAUGUCCUUUCCAUGAACAUUGACAAAUCAGAAAACUCAUCCGCUCCGUUGUUCAAUAUGGAACUCUCAGAUGGCGUCGACCGCGCUGGAAAAGCCAUCGUUUUUGGGAAAGUUGUGAUGGGAAAUCGUGUCAUUGAGAAAGUUCUCCUUGCCGGAUCCAGAGACGGAAUUCCAGAACAAACUGUGAAAAUCUCGGACUGCGGGGAAAUGUUCCGCGGCGGCCACAGCCACUUCUAG